CCAGUAGUGGCGAAUGAAGCGGGAAAAGCUCAAGUUUGAAAUCUGAAGUCCACUUCAGAGUUGUAAGCUGAAGAGGUGUCGACCGACUUGGUCCGGGCCCAACUUCCUUGGAACAGGAGGUCAUGGAGGGUGAGAACCCCGUCUGUGGCUCGGGUGCCGUAGUCCUUGUGUCGUGCCCUCGAAGAGUCGGGUUGUUUGGGAAUGCAGCUCAAAAUGGGUGGUAAAUUUCAUCUAAGGCUAAAUAUUGGCGAGAGACCGAUAGCAAACAAGUAGAGUGAUCGAAAGAUGAAAAGUACUUUGAAAAGAGAGUGAAACAGUACGUGAAAUUGUUGAAAGGGAAGCGUUUGGCAUCAG
rnacentral:rRNA from 1 species